GCCCUACCCAGCACGUACUGAGCCACCUGGAAGAAUCCAGGGUGCAGAUGAAGGAAUUGCUGCUCCUAUUUCCAGGCCACAAGCAUCCCAUCGGCUAGGUAGAAGCAUCCCACACUCACUUUGCUGUCUCUCACCUGAUGAACUGACUCCAGAGAAGAAGCAGGGACUCCCAAGUGGCACUGAGAACACCAGCACAAACAAGCUACCUACCUAGGAACCUGUCUUAACUUCAAACUCAGGGACAGAAUGUUCUAUGGAAGUGACCAAAAAGGAGUUUCUAAUACACUUGGUGCUCUGCUGAUGCAGCACCCCUGGCUACAACGAUGGCACGUGGACCAGGCCUUGCUAAUCAGAACACUCCAUUCCCCUGCCAUGGGAUUAGUUCAGAGAUGAGCUAAUGACCUAAGCCUGACAAAUCAGGGGUAGCCCAUUUUUGGGUAAUAAUGCUAUCAUUACAGACUAUGGCAAGUUUGCUGAGAACCAUUUUGUCCACCAUGCAUAGAAAUCCUGCUACAGUGGAGAAGAGCAGGUCUCAGGAUGCAACAGAACAUAUUUCUGACAACACCAUUUGACCUAGCCAUGCCUGAAGCUCCAUGUCCCAUGAACUAAUCAGUGGCAUGAAAAAAUAAAUUAUGCUUUCAUUGAGUUAGCUUGAGUUAAAUUUCUCUCCUUUUAAAUGAAAGCUAUGGACAUGCAUGGUCACACAG